rnacentral:tRNA from 1 species
GUAGGUAUAGCUCAGUGACAGAAUGUGUGCCUAGCAUGCACUACAUCCUGGGUUCAAUCCCCAGUACCUCCA